AUGAUCAGAAUGUGAAUGUGGUUCAAUUUCCCUCCAACACUUCGCAGAUGUGAAGUUAUGGACUCGAGCAAAUACUAAUUUUUUCUGGUUCACGUAUCAGCUUCCAAACAGGCGUCAAUGGUGAAUUGACCCCCCCAAUUAUGAUGAUACUGAGGGAGAUGGUCAUCCGUACACGCAGAAAAGGAACUGUGGAGGGGCAUAAUAGUUGUCGAGCCAAGCAUCUCUCCUUUUCUUUGCCAUAGAAAUGAUUUUGAAUAGACUAGAGCCUAGAGGAGAACAGCUUUUCAAAUAGGUACAAAAAUCAGGAUGGAGGUGAAUUUGUUCCAUAACUAAACUAGCCGGUUCAUAAAGGGUGCAUGAGCAAAUAACUGAUAUGCCC